rnacentral:tRNA from 1 species
AGUUAAUGAACUUGUAUAAGUGUAUAUUUUGAAAAUAUAAUAAAGAGACCAUAAUUCUCUAUUAACUU